rnacentral:rRNA from 1 species
GAUGAACGCUGGCGGCGUGCCUAAUACAUGCAAGUCGAGCGAACGGACGAGAAGCUUGCUUCUCUGAUGUUAGCGGCGGACGGGUGAGUAACACGUGGAUAACCUACCUAUAAGACUGGGAUAACUUCGGGAAACCGGAGCUAAUACCGGAUGAUAUUUUGAACCGCAUGGUUCAAAAGUGAAAGACGGUCUUGCUGUCACUUAUAGAUGGAUCCGCGCUGCAUUAGCUAGUUGGUAAGGUAACGGCUUACCAAGGCAACGAUGCAUAGCCGACCUGAGAGGGUGAUCAGCCACACUGGAACUGAAACACGGUCCAGACUCCUACGGGAGGCAGCAGUAGGGAAUCUUCCGCAAUGGGCGAAAGCCUGACGGAGCAACGCCGCGUGAGUGAUGAAGGUCUUCGGAUCGUAAAACUCUGUUAUUAGGGAAGAACAUAUGUGUAAGUAACUGUGCACAUCUUGACGGUACCUAAUCAGAAAGCCACGGCUAACUACGUG